UACCCGCUGAACUUAAGCAUAUCAAUAAGCCGGAAGGAACA
rnacentral:rRNA from 1 species